GGAAAGUGUUCCAGGCCAGGGGUCAUCACGUGCAAAGUCCCCAGGCAGGUCCAGUGUGUGUGCCGGAAGCUGGGACGGUCCCGGUGGAGCCAGAGCCGGAAGUACUGUACUGGAGGUGGAACCUGGAGAACCUGGCACAUGAGAGGCAAGCACUCCACCACCAAGCUGCACCUCAGCCCAGCUGUUUUUAGUUCUUUGGGUAUAUAUUUAGGAUUGGGAUUUCUGGGUCAACUGGUGCCUUUCUCUGUAACUUUUUGAGGAAUCACCAGAAGGCUUUUGCCGAGCA